rnacentral:rRNA from 1 species
GCCGUAAACAUUGAUAGGUUAAUACAACCCCUAUCCGCCCGGGAACUACAAGCACAAGCUUGAAACCCAAAGGACUUGGCGGUGCUUUAGAUCCUCCUAGAGGAGCCUGUUCUAGAACCGAUAACCCCCGUUCAACCUCACCUUUCCUUGUUUUUCCCGCCUAUAUACCGCCGUCGUCAGCCCACCCCGUGAGGGCUAAAAAGUAGGCUUAAUUGGCAUAACCCAAUACGUCAGGCCGAGGUGUAGCGUAUGGAAGGGGAAGAAAUGGGCUACAUUCCCUAUUUUAGGGCACACGAAUGAUGUGCUGAAACGCAUAUCUUGAAGGAGGAUUUAGCAGUAAGCAGGAAGUAGAGCGUUCUGCUGAAAUUGGCUC